rnacentral:rRNA from 1 species
UACGAAGGGGGCUAGCGUUGCUCGGAAUUACUGGGCGUAAAGCGCACGUAGGCGGUCUUUUAAGUCGGGGGUGAAAUCCUGGAGCUCAACUCCAGAACUGCCUUCGAUACUGAAAGACUUGAGUUCGGGAGAGGUGAGUGGAACUGCGAGUGUAGAGGUGAAAUUCGUAGAUAUUCGCAAGAACACCAGUGGCGAAGGCGGCUCACUGGCCCGGUACUGACGCUGAGGUGCGAAAGCGUGGGGAGCGAACAGG